rnacentral:rRNA from 1 species
UACAGAGGUCUCAAGCGUUGUCCGGAAUCAUUGGGCGUAAAGCGCGUGUAGGCGGUUCGGUAAGUCCGCUGUGAAAGUCGGGGGCUCAACCCUCGAAAGCCGGUGGAUACUGUCGGGCUAGAGUACGGAAGAGGCGAGUGGAAUUCCUGGUGUAGCGGUGAAAUGCGCAGAUAUCAGGAGGAACACCUAUUGCGAAGGCAGCUCGCUGGGACGUUACUGACGCUGAGACGCGAAAGCGUGGGGAGCAAACAGG